rnacentral:rRNA from 11 species
UGUUUUACUUUUACUACCAUAAAGGCACCAUAUCUUGCCUGAUCUUAGAAGCUAAGCAGGGACAGCCUUGCAUAGUACUAAGAUGUAAGUCCAUAUUUGGACUUGUAGGCUGUAUUUCAC